rnacentral:rRNA from 1 species
AACGAACGCUGGCGGCAGGCUUAACACAUGCAAGUCGAACGCGUGCAGCAAUGCACGAGUGGCGCACGGGUGAGUAACGCGUGGAUAUCUGCCUUCUGGUUCGGAAUAACCCCGGGAAACUGGGGCUAAUACCGAAUGGUUCCUACGGGAUAAAGAUUUAUCGCCAGAAGAUGAGUCCGCGUCCGAUUAGCUAGUUGGUGAGGUAACGGCUCACCAAGGCGACGANCGGUAGCUGGUCUGAGAGGACGAUCAGCCACACUGGGACUGAAACACGGUCCAGACUCCUACGGGAGGCAGCAGUGGGGAAUCUUGCGCAAUGGACGAAAGUCUGACGCAGCGACGCCGCGUGGGUGAAGAAGGCC